rnacentral:rRNA from 1 species
GUGAACGCUGGCGGUAGGCCUAACACAUGCAAGUCGCACGGCAGCACAGUAAGAGCUUGCUCUUACGGGUGGCGAGUGGCGGACGGGUGAGGAAUACAUCGGAAUCUACUUUUUCGUGGGGGAUAACGUAGGGAAACUUACGCUAAUACCGCAUACGACCUACGGGUGAAAGCAGGGGAUCUUCGGACCUUGCGCGAUUGAAUGAGCCGAUGUCGGAUUAGCUAGUUGGCGGGGUAAAGGCCCACCAAGGCGACGAUCCGUAGCUGGUCGGAGAGGAUGAUCAGCCACACGGGAACUGGGACACGGUCCAGACUCCUACGGGAGGCAGCAGUGGGGAAUAUUGGACAAUGGGCGCAAGCCUGAUCCAGCCAUACCGCGUGGGUGAAGAAGGCCUUCGGGUUGUAAAGCCCUUUUGUUGGGAAAGAAAAGCAGCAGGUUAAUACCCCGCUGUUCUGACGGUACCCAAAGAAUAAGCACCGGCUAACUUCGUG